AGUGAACGCUGGCGGUAGGCCUAACACAUGCAAGUCGAACGGCAGCACAGUAAGAGCUUGCUCUUACGGGUGGCGAGUGGCGGACGGGUGAGGAAUACAUCGGAAUCUACUUUUUCGUGGGGGAUAACGUAGGGAAACUUACGCUAAUACCGCAUACGACCUACGGGUGAAAGCAGGGGAUCUUCGGACCUUGCGCGAUUGAAUGAGCCGAUGUCGGAUUAGCUAGUUGGCGGGGUAAAGGCCCACCAAGGCGACGAUCCGUAGCUGGUCUGAGAGGAUGAUCAGCCAAACUGGAACUGAGACACGGUCCAGACUCCUACGGGAGGCAGCAGUGGGGAAUAUUGGACAAAGGGCGCAAGCCUGAUCCAGCCAUACCGCGUGGGUGAAGAAGGCCUUCGGGUUGUAAAGCCCUUUUGUUGGGAAAGAAAAGCAGCAGGUUAAUACCCCGCUGUUCUGACGGUACCCAAAGAAUAAGCACCGGCUAACUUCGUG
rnacentral:rRNA from 1 species